GAGUCUCGCCUGUCUCCUCCCAGGGCCUGGUUUCUCUUGGGAGUCGGCCCGGCCUUUCCUUAGCCGGGAUCAGAGGACUAGCGAACCAGAGCAGCUGCCAGGAUGAUUCCUCGUCCUCGGUCCUCUUCUUCUAUGGUCAAGCUUUGUGGUAGGAUAGAGAGGGACGGAGACCCGGGAAGCGCAAGUCGCGUCUCCAGGGAAGCCAAAGGAGCGCUCAGGGCCGGCCACUGCCUGAGUGGGCCUGGCUCUCCUGUGCAUCGCCAAGCGAUUUUGGGGGUGGGGGUUACAGAAUGAAUGAGCGAGGGAGAGAAGUGACGACCGAGCAAGGAGGAAGCUACAUAAACUGGCCUUCGCUCUUCUGCCGCUCGGAAAACAGCUCUGAGCUGGAGCUUCUGGCGAACUGAAGCGCUCUGGCACGGAAAGCGUCCCAGAAAGCCGGGGCGCCUCCAAGUCCCGUUGGUUUACCGGCGAGCCACCUCCUUCCUCGGCUUUGGCGGCAACACGGACCUCCUCCGGGCAAGAGGAAUGGCUAAUCAGAGCGCGGGUCUCUCCCGGCUAGAGUAGCUGUAGUGGUUGGAACGGGGCCUCGCCUCGUCUUUGUCCAGCACUCAGCCAGGUAAGUCCCCGGCCUUUCGAGUCGCCGCGGAUCUCCACUGACUUCCAUGGGGACGCUGGGCAAAUGAAGUGACCGAUUGAACCGCUUCACCGGCCGAACUGCAAGAGGACUUUUCGUUCAAAUAAAGGGGGAUCAUCUUCAGCGGCGUAAAUGCAGCUCGAAAGCAAUAAGGCUUUUUUUAAAAAAAAAAGAAACUAAGACCUGGAGAACUUGGCUGGAAGUUGAGAAUCCGGACUUUUCUGCAGCAAGAGUUGCAAUUCCGCUCGGUCUGGAUCUCACGAGCGAAGCAGAACUGGAAUGGGCCGCAGGGUUAAAUUCUAGCAUCUCAGCUUCGCUUGACUCGUGGAUCACUUCGCAGGAUGAGGCGGUGGGCUUAGGGCCACUUUUACCUUUCCAGCCUUCCAGCUUCAAUCCAGACCUUGCUAUGUUUUCCUGUGGAAGAAUUAAGAAAGAGAUGAAGGGCAAUUAACAGCAGGCAAGAUGAGGGUGUGUGGAUCGUCAACUUGAGUGCAUUCAAAGCUAAGUCAAGAAGGUAGAAAAAUCUGCUGUUGGCGGUUGGAGCUAUUACGAAACAUUGCCAGCUUCUGAGAAAUACUUUGAAAUAGAGAUGGAGGACCCUCUUCUCCUGCUAAUUAAGAAAGACAACACACUUGGGU